rnacentral:lncRNA from 1 species
AGCAGUGACAUUUUUGUGUAAAAUAAUAAUUGUAACAAUAAUUCUUACAUAGCUCUUACUCUGUGCCAACAGUGUUCUAAGCACUUUUUACAUACAUUAACUUACAGUGUUCACACUCCUGUGUAUUAUUGGUAUACACAUUUUACAAAUGAGGAAAUGGAGGCACAGAAAGGCUAUUUUGCCCCACAUAAAAAUAGAUGACAUUUUAAUCUUUUCUAGGUAUUUUGCCACUCUAUCAAGAAAGUUAAGGACUCUCAAGCUUUUGGAUGCUUAGAAAAUACAUCAGAGGAGGACAGAAACUCAGAUAUCUCUGCAUCCUGAAUUCAUUGGUGGAAUUGCUACUGUGCCCAGUAAAAGCAUUUCAGUCAUGCAAGGAGAGGAUGUUAAGGUAAAGGAAUGAAACCGAAGACCAGAAAGUGGUAAAAAGCAGCAGUGAAGAAACCAAAACUAAAACAAACCAGCAAAGACCAUAUUCAGCUCACAGCCUUUCAGGAACUGAAGUAGAUCAUUGGCCCAGACUCUCCACUGAAUCCGAAGAAUGCUUUGCAGGGGAUGUUCAGAGGCUUACCUGAGAAUGAGAGAAAAAGAAAUGAGCAAAUGACUCCUGAUUAUCAGUGGGAGACAGGAAGCGACCAUUUAACAUCCAAAGGAAAACUCAGAGGUUAAGCAAUUCAUCUCCUAGUUUUUACAAAUUGUCACAACUCUCCAAAAAUUUUCUGAUAUAUUUGUGGAGAAAGACCCACAUGUAAGUGAACCAACAGAGUUCAAACACAUGUUGUUUUAAGGGUCAACUAUAUAGGUAAGUAUCAUAUAGAAAAUCCCCUUUACCAUUUUUGAGAGAUGUGAUAGGCUAAUUGUUAAACCUAUGAAUAUCCUGUUACCUAUUUCUAUGUAACAAAUUACCCUAAAACUUAGUGACUUAAAAUAAUCAACAUUUAUUAUUUCACAGUUUCUGUUUGUCAGAUAUUUGUGUAUGGCUUAGCUGGUUCUGUUCAGUAUCUCCUAGGAGGUUGAAGUCUUGACUAGGUCUUCAAGAUCCACUUCAAGAUGGCUCACUUACAUGGCUGUUAGCAGGAAGCCUCAGUUUCUCACCAUGGUAGGCCUCUCCAUAGGAUACCUAAAUGUCCUCAUGACAUGGCUGUAAAUUUCCCUCUGCGCAAACGACCUGAGAGAGAGCCAGUGAGGAGGAAGACACAGUACCUUUUAUGAUCGAAUCGCCAAGGUGACACACACCUGCCUUUGUUUUACUCUAUUUGUUAGAAGUGCAUUAAGGUCAGCCCAUACUCUAAGAGAGAGGAACUAGUCUCCACUUCUUGAGGGGAGGAGUUUCAAAUAAUGUGUGUAUAUUUUUCAAAAGCACUACCAUGGCUAACUUGUUUAUUUUGGGCAUCUUUCCUUGUAUCAGUUGAUGAUACUCACAUUAGUCACACAUCCAAUAAGAGAUUGGGUACACAAAACACAAGCCAUAUAACAUAAAGGUCAGUGUAAAAAUCUAAGAUUUUACAAAGGGAGAUUCUGAGAGUUCUGUCUAAGAUGUGGAAUCAGCUCAUAAAGAGAUGUCAUGCUAACAAAGCUUUUCAGAUGCUAUUCCCACUCAUAAGCAUGAGCAUUCUGUAAGUAUCACUGGAAGAGCUUCUGAUGUACAGAAACAAAAAAGCAUGAGAGCAGUGAAAAUUCUGGCUUUGGUGGAAGAUAAAGUAGGAAGAGUGUAGAAGAAAAGGAAUGAGAGAUAAACACUGAUUGAAGAUUUUGCUAAGAUAGGGAAAGUUUCUGUGAGUGACAAUAAAGGAGGUAUGCUUUAGAUUUCACAGUGUAAUUAGACAACUGGCUAAUGAUUUAAUAAUCUAUUUCUAUUGCUGCCAUUUUAUCUGAAGUUUGUAAUGGAAUGGAUCUAGCUCAGGAUUGCCAAAUCUACUUUGCAGUAAAGAAGAAAAUAGACUUUGAAAGUAAGUCCGUAUCUUUAGUAAAUAAAAGAAAGAAAAGAUGAAAAAUAUUGCAUUUAUUUUAUGGAAUACUUUUUAACUAGUUUUAAAGGGAACCCUCUGCAGCAACUCCAGUGUCAACUGGGAAGUAGAAAAAGAAUGCAGAAUGGCUUUCAAGCUCUUUCUCUUUUGAAAGUAGUAAGCUACUCUGUGAAUCAGCGGACAGAAAUUAGAAACUGAUAAGUAUUAGACAGCUACAAUAUUUGAGAUUCUCAGACCAGCCUCCAUGUAUUUUUAUAGUUCCCCAAAUUCCUCUU